rfam:Ovis aries breed Texel chromosome 10, whole genome shotgun sequence.
UCCCUGGUGGCUCAGAGGUUAAAGUUUCUGCCUUCAAUGCGGGAGACCUGGGUUCAAUCCCUGGGUUGGGAA